rnacentral:tRNA from 1 species
UGGCUCAGUGGUAGAGUGCUUGCCUUGCAUGCAUGAAACCCUGGGUUCGAUUCCUCAG